AUCCACCUGACGAGUCCCAAAAAGGACGAAAUACGCGUCCUCGAU
rfam:Schistosoma mattheei strain Denwood, Zambia genome assembly, scaffold: SMTD_scaffold0000258